rnacentral:rRNA from 1 species
UGCAGUCGAGCGAGCGGACGAGAAGCUUGCGUUCUCUGAUGUUAGCGGCGGACGGGUGAGUAACACGUGGAUAACCUACCUAUAAGACUGGGAUAACUUCGGGAAACCGGAGCUAAUACCGGAUAAUAUUUUGAACCGCAUGGUUCAAAAGUGAAAGACGGUCUUGCUGUCACUUAUAGAUGGAUCCGCGCUGCAUUAGCUAGUUGGUAAGGUAACGGCUUACCAAGGCAACGAUGCAUAGCCGACCUGAGAGGGUGAUCGGCCACACUGGAACUGAGACACGGUCCAGACUCCUACGGGAGGCAGCAGUAGGGAAUCUUCCGCAAUGGGCGAAAGCCUGACGGAGCAACGCCGCGUGAGUGAUGAAGGUCUUCGGAUCGUAAAACUCUGUUAUUAGGGAAGAACAUAUGUGUAAGUAACUGUGCACAUCUUGACGGUACCUAAUCAGAAAGCCACGGCUAACUACGUGCCAGCAGCCGCGGUAAUACGUAGGUGGCAAGCGUUAUCCGGAAUUAUUGGGCGUAAAGCGCGCGUAGGCGGUUUUUUAAGUCUGAUGUGAAAGCCCACGGCUCAACCGUGGAGGGUCAUUGGAAACUGGAAAACUUGAGUGCAGAAGAGGAAAGUGGAAUUCCAUGUGUAGCGGUGAAAUGCGCAGAGAUAUGGAGGAACACCAGUGGCGAAGGCGACUUUCUGGUCUGUAACUGACGCUGAUGUGCGAAAGCGUGGGGAUCAAACAGGAUUAGAUACCCUGGUAGUCCACGCCGUAAACGAUGAGUGCUAAGUGUUAGGGGGUUUCCGCCCCUUAGUGCUGCAGCUAACGCAUUAAGCACUCCGCCUGGGGAGUACGACCGCAAGGUUGAAACUCAAAGGAAUUGACGGGGACCCGCACAAGCGGUGGAGCAUGUGGUUUAAUUCGAAGCAACGCGAAGAACCUUACCAAAUCUUGACAUCCUUUGACAACUCUAGAGAUAGAGCUUUCCCCUUCGGGGGACAAAGUGACAGGUGGUGCAUGGUUGUCGUCAGCUC